CCUACGGGGGGCAGCAGUGAGGAAUAUUGGUCAAUGGACGCAAGUCUGAACCAGCCAUGCCGCGUGCAGGAAGACGGCUCUAUGAGUUGUAAACUGCUUUUGUACGAGGGUAAACGCAGAUACGCGUAUCUGUCUGAAAGUAUCGUACGAAUAAGGAUCGGCUAACUCCGUGCCAGCAGCCGCGGUAAUACGGAGGAUUCAAGCGUUAUCCGGAUUUAUUGGGUUUAAAGGGUGCGUAGGCGGUCGGAUAAGUUAGAGGUGAAAUCCCGAGGCUCAACUUCGGAAUUGCCUCUGAUACUGUUCGGCUAGAGAGUAGUUGCGGUAGGCGGAAUGUAUGGUGUAGCGGUGAAAUGCUUAGAGAUCAUACAGAACACCGAUUGCGAAGGCAGCUUACCAAGCUACUUCUGACGUUGAGGCACGAAAGCGUGGGUAGCAAACAGGAUUAGAUACCCUAGUAGUC
rnacentral:rRNA from 1 species